GAAAUGCGAUAAGUAAUGUGAAUUGCAGAAUUCAGUGAAUCAUCGAAUCUUUGAACGCACAUUGCGCCCGCCAGUAUUCUGGCGGGCAUGCCUGUUCGAGCGUCAUUUCAACCAUCAAGCCCCCGGCUUGUGUUGGGGACCUGCGGCUGCCCGCAGGCCCUGAAAAACAGUGGCGGGCUCGCUGUCACACCGAGCGUAGUAGCAUACAUUCUCGCUCAGGGCGUGCUGUGGGUCCCGGCCGUUAAACGACCUUCAUAACCCAAGGUUGACCUCGGAUCAGGUAGGAAGACCCGCUGAACUUAAGC
rnacentral:misc_RNA from 1 species